AGGGUGGGCAGGUUCCCUGAGGAUGCAGGUGAGGUCAGGGUGGAGGAUGGGCAGGUUCCCUGAGGAUGCAGGGAGGGUGGGGUGGAGGGUGGGCAGGUUCCCUGACCCUGUACACAGUACUGAGGCAGGCCUCUCUGUCACCCAGCCCCCAGCUCCCAGCCUGCAGCCGGGUACCUGACUCGGAGGGUUCCGCAGAGCAGGCAGGCUGACCGCAAGGCCUCAUAGUGCGUUAGUCUCUUAGGGAUGCUGCUACCAAUGACGGCAAAUGGCGAGGCCUCCUGGGGUCAGGCCAAAACCAGCCUCCCUGCCGAAAUCAAAGUGUCGAUGGGGCUCUGCUCCUCUGGAGGCCCCAGGAGAAUCGGUUCCCUGCUUCACCCCUUGCCGUGGCCGCCGACACCCCUUGGCUUGUGGCUGCGUCACUCCAGUCUCUGCCUCUGUCGCCACACUGCUCUCUCCUCCUCUGUGUCAAAUCCCCUUCUCAUGAGGAUGCAAGUGACUGCAUUUAGGGCCCACCUGGGAUAAUCUGGGAUUACCCCCAUCUCAACAUCCUCAACCAAAUCUUCAAGAUCCUUUCCUGCCACAUUGAGUCAGCCACAGAUUCCAGGGUUGAGGUCCUGAUACCUUUGGGGCAUGUUGGACCCACUGUGCUAGGUGAGGAUGGAAACGAGGCAGCCCAGGUGACAGGCAGUGGUGAUGGGGGCACUGUCUGGGGGCACCCUUGGAGGGCCUGCUCGUGUCUCCCUCCAUUCCCAAAGUGGGGUCCCUCAAACCCACACAAAAGGGAGGUAGAAUGGGAGGAAGAGUGGAGCAACCAGGGAGCUUGGGCCCCUAGGUGGUGCUGGCAGCCCACGGCCCCAGAUGGGGAGGAUUUGAACCCACGAACAUCAGAGCCACGAGGCCUCCAAGGAGGGGAUACAGGACACAGUCACGUCGGGACUUUGGACAUAUAUCAAAUAAUUGUUUAGUGUAAAAUAUUUGGGGCAUAUUUACACAAAAGUGGUACUCCUUAUUUAUCUAAAAUUCUGAUCUGACUGGGUGUCCUGUGUUUUACCUGGUGGCCCUGCCCAAGGACACAGGUGUUCCUGAUGGACCCCGGCCCAUCCUGGGCCUCUGUGGGGCCACAUAGAUGGGAGGGGCCUAGUGGGACCUGCAGGGCCUGUCUGGAAGGAAGUUGUCCUUUCACACGUGAUCUGGCUAGAACUGGGGCCAAAUGGGAGAAAUUUGCCAGCCUGAGAUGGGACAAAAGUGAAAAACAGCCCCCAGCUGGAGUUGCAGGAAUCCCCCUUGGGUGGUCCCUGAGGUGCUCAGGGGUCCCCUCACCCCCAUGUCCCAGUUGCAGUUGCUAACUCUGGAUGACUCUGGCAGCCUUGGUCACCCAGGCACUGCUGGUGGGGGGCAAGCCCAGCCUGACUGCCAUGGUCUGUGCUGGGGCCACAGUGCCCCCUCCAGGUGGGUGUGUUUCUGGGGUGGGGAGGAGCACAGGGAGGGCAGAGAGAUGGGAGCACUCCCUGUUCCCACUGGGGUCCCCAGCAGAUGAGAGUCCUGGCAGUGUUAGCCUGGAGGGUGGGUCUCCAGGGAGGGUCUGUGACCUCGGCUCCCCUUCUGGGGUAAUGAAGUCAGGCCCAAGUCCUUGGGUCUGAUGCCUGGCAGGGCUCCGGGCCUUGCUGCGCCCCUUGUGCUCAGGUAGGGGGCUGUGGGGUGGGGACCGGCAGUGGCUGGAGGAGGCCAGGAUCUGGGACUGGGCUCCUGGUGUCCAUCGUGGGUGGGGGCAGCACACACAGGGUGCCAGGAUUGCCCUGCUGGAUGCCGGACAAGGGAUACCCUGUGUCCAGCCCACUGUCAGCUCUGGGGAGGGCAGGGGCUUGGCCAAAGCUGCCCUGGGGUCCCCAGCCGUCGGUCUCUGGGGAGUUCUGGUGCCACCCACACCGAGGGCAGAGGAGCUUCUGGCAGGUGAGAGACCCACCGAGGGCAGGAGGAGCUUCUGGCGGGUGAGAGACCCACCGAGGGCAGGAGGAGCUACUGGCGGGUGAGAGACCCAGGGAAGCAAGCUAUGCUCGUUAAUCAGGAAGGGGGGCUGGGGGGACACCGGGCAGAGCUCUGCGUUGCCUCCAGGACAGUAAUGCUCAGAGCUUUCGUGUUAGGACCCUUGCACAGUGUUAAAUGUCAGGGAGGUUGCAUCUGCCACUGUUUGGUGUGCUAGAAACUAAACGUGUGAAUAUUUAAGACACGAGAAAGCAGGGGAGUGUCACACCUCUUAUGGCCUCUGAGAACUCCACUGUCCAAGCGAGGACGGGAGCGAGAAGCCUCGGCAUUAUUGUGAAAACGGGUUUUGACCUUGGGGCUUUCUCGAAGGUUCUCGGGAGCCCCGGGGGCCUGGACCGUGCUUUGUGAACCGAGGCUUUAGGCGGCAGAGCAGCGGGGAAGGCGAGGGGUGGGGUCCCAGCUCUGGCACCUGAGGCCGGGCAAUGGGGCCAGAGAUGCCGCGGUGCCCCUUCUCCAUCGGCGAAAGGGGGUUGUGUGGCACCUGCCCUGAGGGUCGGGCCAGGAUGAAAGGAAACCACGGCCUCACGCGGCCUCUGCGGCUGCCUCUCCAGCUCCCUGAACAGGGGCUGCAGUGGAGGUGUGAGCUCUAGCUGCUCCCUGGGGCCCAGAGGAGGGUGGGUUUUUCCCCAUAGCAGGUGGGGGUAGGGGGGUGGGGAGGGGCAGAGCUCACUGGGGUUGGGAUCAGGACAGAACGCUCCGUGGGUGUCGGCUUGGGGAGCCUGAGGACAGCUGGAGGGCGGUGGCCGGGGUGAGGGCAGGGGACCACAGCCAGACAGUGCCCUGGAGCCCUGCAAGGCUGGGACCGUGCAGCCUCAGGGCCCCAGCGGGGUGUUGAUGGAUGCUUGCAGCUGGCUGGACACCUGGGCUGCUGUCUGGCUGAAGGGGGCUCCAAGGCCCAGAGAGUGGCUCUGACUGGCGGCCACUGGGACUCAGGGUCAGUCCUGGGGCCGCUGAGACCCCAGAGCAGGUCCUGAAGUCAGGGAGGGCAUGGGUGGCGGAAGGAGCUCCACCCUACUUGGGUUGGUGAAUAAUUUUUUUUUUUUUUUUUGAGUCUCGCUCUGUCGCCCAGGCUGGAGUGCAGUGGUGCGAUCUCUGCUCACUGCAAGCUCCGUCUCCUGGGUUCACGCCAUUCUCCUGCCUCAGCCUCCCGAGUAGCUGGGACUACAGGCGCCCGCCACUAUGCCCGGCUAAGUUUUGUAUCUUUGGUAGAGAUGAAGUUUCACUGUGUUAGCCAGGAUGGUCUUGAUCUCCUGAUCUCGUGAUCCGCCCACCUCGGCCUCCCAAGUGCUGGGAUUACAGACGUGGGCCCCCGCGCCCGGCCGGGUUGGUGAAUAAUUUAAAACAGGAUCCACCAAGACACCCUAUUGGCGGCUUCGGUCUGCACUUUGCACAUCACUGAAAAAUUCCUGAGGCCUCGAGAGGCUGUGGGGCCCUGCUGAGUGGCCGAAUGCCAUCUGUCCCUUGCCCUUGUCUCUCCUGGGCUCCCGGUGCCCUCCUGUAACCCAGGCAGGAAGGACCUUCCCACCCCACUGCAGGUUCCCAGCGUGGCUGGAAGGGCCUGGGUGCCCCUGGCAGUCCUGGGUUUGAGCAGCGGCUUCUGGGCUCCCUGCCAAGGGGCUGGGCUUUGCGGCAGCCGGUCAGGCCUCCACAAUGGGACCCCGGGGAUUUCCCAUGUGCUGUGACUGUGGGAAUGACUGUCCUUGUGGGUGACUUAGUGUGUCCCGGAGUGGGGCUGCAGGCACAGGGUUACAUCCAUACCCUGGUGCGUGUGUGUGACCUGGGUGAACUGUGCAUACCUGUAGGUGGCUGUGUGGGGUGCAGGGGAGAACUUGGCGGGGUGUCCUGGAGCCCCUGGAAACGGUCAGGAUGUAUGUGCUCGUGCGUCUGUUCAUUUGUGCCUGCAUGUCUGUGUGUCGGGCAUCUGGCUGUACCUGUGCUGCCGGCUGGCCACCUGGAGUCAGGGCUGAGUCUCUGGGGGUGCCCACCAGGUGGCUGGACUCAGGAAGCACUGGGCAACGGUCCCUGUCCGGAAGCCAGGGAGGGAGAAGGCAGCCCGGGGGACAGGCUGGACUGGCAGGUGCAUGGGCCUUGAGGCAGCUCCUGGCUCUGCUGAGGGGAGAGAAGCCCCGUCCCCAUGAGAGGGUCAACCAGGAGCGUCAGGGGUCUUUGGAGGAGCUGUGAGGUCUGGCUUAUCUCCUGGCUUCAUGCCGCUCUGGCAUCUUCCUUUGGGGGUCGGCUGGGGGAGGUGGGGAAGACCCUGGGGAGGAUGUGUGAGGCUGAGAACAGCUCCAGGAUGGAGAGCAGAUGCAGGUGGGGUCAGCGGCCCCAAAUCAGGGCCCUGGCUUGGUCUGUGGGGGCUCCGAGGCAGGGGCAGGAGGCACCAACACCCAGAGGAGGGGAGAGAGGGUCCGGGCCCUGGAUGGUGUGGGGUGGGAGCAGGAAGGAAGCCGUUGCCCCUGGAUCCCCUGCCCAGACGUGGGGCCUGGUUGCAGGCCUCCUGCUGCAGGACAACAGUUCCUAAGAGCCUGUGGGCCUCCUGCAGGGACAGGACUGGAGCCGUAGGUGUGGCAGGAGGCAGAGCUCCCAGGCAGGACCAGCCUGGAGGGGUUGGAGGGGCAGGAACCCAUGCCCCCUGCCCUGCCCACUCCCUGAACAUGUAGGGGGAAGGAGCCCCAGGCUCUGCCACACAGCCUGUCAUGGGGAGGGGCUGGCAGUUCUGCCCCAGGCUCUGGCUAUGAGGAUCCUGCCAGCCACUGUCUGAAGCCAGGUCAGGCCAAGCCAGCUGCCAGCUGUGGGGUUCCAGGGCUCAGCUGCCUGGGGGGAGGGGGUGAUGCUGAACUGGGCAGUUGGAGGGAAUGGGCGAGGGGGAAGGAGAAAUCCACUGAGUCCCACGGUGGGAGGCUGUAAGAUCUCCUCUCUCCAUUUCCUAGUCUCUGUAAACCUUUUACCCUUCAGGGUGUGGGGAGGAACCUUUAAGUAUAAAAGGUUCCCUGUGGCCCCGCCCUCCCCGGAGGCUGUGGCUGCCUCCAGGGGUGGGGGUUUCUGGCACCUUAGGGGCCUUAACCGCCUCCCACUGCCCUGUCUUUACUCUGCAUCUCCCGACACCCAGGCCUUCAUCUUGGGUGUGAGGCGGGUGGCACACAGCGGGGUGCGGUACCCAUGGGGCAGCCAGGAGCUGACUCAGCAUCUUCACCUUCCCGCUCACGUGACGCCUCCUCCUGCCACCGCUGGAGACUCUUUACAAACCUCGUGCCCUUCCUCCAUCACCACGAUCGAUCGUCUGUCUACGGUCAGCACCCCCACAUCCCAGGUAAAGAGGCGGAGGUGCGGAGAGAGCCUGCAGCUGCCCAGAGCCACACAAACUAAGCUCACGGUGGGAUGCCAGGAAGUGGGAUUAAGCAAAAGGCUGGUCUCCAGGAUGGGGCCAGCUCAUCCCAGCCGCAGGGAUGGACACAUCAUGCUGUCUUCAAUUCAACCAGUGGGAGGAUCUGUGAGAGACCAGGGAAGAGGGGCGUGUCCGAGCCUGGAACUGGACUCACCUGGGCACCUUCCCGCGCGAGACCAGGGAAGAGGGGCGUGUCCCAGCCGGGAACUGGACUCACCUGGGCACCUUCCCGCGAGAGACCAGGGAAGAGGGGCGUGUCCGAGCCGGGAACUGGACUCACCUGGGCACCUUCCCGCAUGAGACCAGGGAAGAGGGGCAUGUCCCAGCCGGGAACUGGACUCACCUGGGCACCUUCCCGCGAGAGACCAGGGAAGAGGGGCGUGUCCGAGCCUGGAACUGGACUCACCUGGGCACCUUCCCGCGAGAGACCAGGGAAGAGGGGCGUGUCCCAGCCGGGAACUGGACUCACCUGGGCACCUUCCCGAGAGAGACCAGGGAAGAGGGGCGUGUCCCAGCCGGGAACUGGACUCACCUGGGCACCUUCCCGAGAGAGACCAGGGAAGAGGGGCGUGUCCCAGCCGGGAACUGGACUCACCUGGGCACCUUCCCGCGCGAGACCAGGGAAGAGGGGCGUGUCCGAGCCGGGAACUGGACUCACCUGGGCACCUUCCCGAGAGAGACCAGGGAAGAGGGGCGUGUCCCAGCCGGGAACUGGACUCACCUGGGCACCUUCCCGAGAGAGACCAGGGAAGAGGGGCGUGUCCGAGCCGGGAACCGGACUCACCUGGGCACCUUCCCGCGAGAGACCAGGGAAGAGGGGCGUGUCGAGCCGGGAAGUGGACUCACCUGGGCACCUUCCCGCAAGAGACCAGGGAAGAGGGGCGUGUCCCAGCCGGGAACUGGACUCACCUGGGCACCUUCCUGCCCUCCUCCCGACGCCCUCUCAGAAUGAGGCUCUCACUGUCUCGCUCCUAUCCCCACCCUCCUGUGGGGUGGGGGCCAACUCUCUCCACUUGUCUGAGUAGCAAUAGGUUCUGUCUCACUUGGGCAACUACAACAGAGUAACUGACUUGGGGCCUUAAACAACAGAAAUUUAUUUCUCACAGUUCUGGAAACCAGAGGUCAAGAUCAAGGAGCGGGCAGACUUGGUUCUGUGAGGGCCGGCUUCCUGGCUUGCAGACGAUGCCUUCCCAUGUCCCCACAUGGCACGAAGCAGAGAAAGGGACCCAGUGCUGGUCCUCUUCCAAGGGCUCCACCCUCCUGACCCAGUUGCCCCCAAAGGCCCCCUCUCCUAACACCAUCACACUGGAGUGAGGGUUUCAGCAUGUGGAUUCUGGGGACACAUCCAGUCCACGCAGGCCUGAGUGGCCGCCUGGUCUGCUGAAAGCCACUCAGCUCGGGCAGGCCCAUGGCGGCUGCCUGCGGGCCAUACUCUCUACAGCCCACACCAGCGCCGCCCUCUGCAGGGGCUGAGGCAGAUCCUGCUGGGUGCCGAGGGUGGCGCCCUCGUGUUUGCCGGAGGGUGUGGGGCAGCGGGCCGCCCUGGGAGCCUUGGGACUGGCCGGACUUCAGCUCUGUGCAGCCCCUGGUGUGCAGCUUGGAGAACCCAGCCUUUCUGAACCAUCCACCUGGUAUGGCGCUAGAUGACCUUGUCCUGGAUGUGGGGUGGGGAGGGCCGUGACAGCCCAUGGGCCUUGCCAAGGCUGGAUGGCCCCGCCCAAAGCCUACUGGACAUCUGGCCAAGCAAGGCCCUGGUGAGCGUGGGCAGGACGUCGGUGGGCGGGCAGCCAGGGCACAGAUGCAGCCUGCAUGGGCAGGACGUCUGGCCGCUCCGCUAGUCCUGAGCUCCAGCUGCCCAUGUCCUCUUGGGGUCUCCCCGGCAGCCCUUAGCCACACAAGCCCCAGGCCUGUGACUGAGGCCACAUCUGGCUGGAGGCUCCAGCGACGUCCAGCCCCAGGUCAAAGUGGCCAUCUGUCAUCUGACAGGUUGACAUGCACCUUCCUUGGGCUAGGUAGGGCUGUGAGUGUCUGUGCCCACCCCUCCCCCCACACCUUGUGCGCUCAGUGUGCAGUGGGGCAGCAGCGCCAGGCAAAACAGUUUCCCAUCGGGAUGAGGACCAGCUCCAGAGAAGGUGGGGAGGGGUCCCGGCGUCAGGGCCUCCCUGAGAAGACGCAGUGUCUGCCAUCCUGGUGAGCAGAGGAGACAGCAAAUGCAAGAGCUCCUUGCCUGCUCAGGGAUGUGGGGGUGGCCGUGUGCCCAGGAAGGGAGGACGGGGGCAGAGGGAUCGGUGGUCUUGGAGCAUGUGGCAGGGCCAGGUCUCAGGAGCGAGGAGGCCUUGAUGAGGAAAGCAUUUGGGUAGCGUCGAGGUGCCAGGGAGUCUGGAUGUGUAGAUCCACGGUGGGGCCUGGUCUCUCCCACGAGUGAGCAUGGCGCCUGCGUUCCUCACGAUAUAUCUGCCACAGAACGGGGACGAUUGCCACAGCUUCUCCAUUUGCCUGAAGGCGUAGGAGGGGGCGUGUGGGAGGCCACCUGUGACACCUGUGGACCAGAGAUGACAACAUAUGGGGUUUGGGGAUGCCACGGCACAGCAUCAAGCAGAGAGUUCCCUCGAGGGCCCAGAGCUACAGGUGGAUUUCUGCCCUUUCCGGAUGCCUCCGGAGCCACCGUAGCUCCCCAGCCGUCACAGCUGACCACGGGCUCCUCAAUUGACGGUAUUAUUGGUGGCUGGGAAGUACAAGUCAACUCCCUCAUGCAAUUAGCCGGCUUGCCAGGGGCUAGGGAAGCUUACUGAGAGCCUUGGUCCUUUAGAAAAAACUGUAAAUUAAAUUUUUAUUGACUUUAGUGUAAGAUGUUAAAACAAAUCAAUACUUUCAUAUCUUAAAUCUUUUCCUCACUCCCCUGCUCCCCCACAAGCGGAUAAAUACAGCCCUUCCUCCUCCUAAUAAUGUAAAAUUCCUUUGCGGGGGCUGGGCCUCCCUGUCUGGGGAGGCACCUCCUGUCGCCCAAAUUACAGAAUUAAACCCGUAGCAGCUCUGGCCCAGGUGAGAUGACUGAGAACCUGUCUUUCCUCAUCUCAUUUCCCCAAAUUAAAUGUUGUUCCUCCUCCAGGCCUCUGUGGGGUCGUCUGUUUUUCUGAAGAUGCAGUGACGGGGAAGCAGCUCCCUCCGUUUCCACCGGGAGGCACGGGCCCAGGUUCCGGGGAGAGGAUGGUGCUGGAGGUGCUGAAGGGACAGCGCCCACGUGGAAUCCGCUGCCGCCCUGGCCGCCUGGGCAAAGACCGACUGUCUCCUCCGCUGGAGCUGGGCACCACGUACGUCUGAAUUCUGCUCAUCCUCUCUGGAGUCCUGUCGAUGCGGUCUUGGCAAAGAUUGCUUGAGCCUGAACGCUUUUCCCAUCUAUUUUUACAUAAAUGGAAUUCCUCCUGCUUGGAUGAAAUUUACCCCAACUGGGCAUUUUCACGACCCACUUUGCCUGGGCACAGAGGAGGGGACAGGGGGCAGGCAUGCGGGUAACCAGAUUGCUGACAAUGUAGCCCGUGGGUGUGCAAGACACAAAAUUAAAAACAUAAAUGAUUAAUGAGCUAGCUCUUUGAAAGGACAUCCUAAACAAAGGAGGAAGCAAAGAUUUUCAAGCCUU